rnacentral:lncRNA from 1 species
GUGUUAGUCUGGAUCUGUAAAAGCAGCAAAGAGUCCUGUGCCACCGUAUAGACUAACAGACAUAUUGGAGCAUGAGCUUUCGUGGGUGAAUACCCACUUCGUCAUCUCUUUGCUGCUAGUACACAGGCCUUUGAUGUGCCGCUCUUUUGCUCAAGGAGCCAUUUGCAGGUUGAAGGAAAGCUCUACCAGCAGAACCAGCAUCUACCAAUUGAAAUACCAUAAUAAAAAAUGUUCAGCUCAUAAAUCACUGUCU